CCUACGGGAGGCUGCAGUGAGGAAUAUUGGUCAAUGGACGAGAGUCUGAACCAGCCAAGUAGCGUGAAGGAUGACUGCCCUAUGGGUUGUAAACUUCUUUUAUAUGGGAAUAAAAUGUUCCACGUGUGGGAUUUUGUAUGUACCAUAUGAAUAAGGAUCGGCUAACUCCGUGCCAGCAGCCGCGGUAAUACGGAGGAUCCGAGCGUUAUCCGGAUUUAUUGGGUUUAACGGGAGCGUAGGUGGAUUGUUAAGUCAGUUGUGAAAGUUUGCGGCUCAACCGUAAAAUUGCAGUUGAAACUGGCAGUCGUGAGUACAGUAGAGGUGGGCGGAAGUCGUGGUGUAGCGGUGAAAUGCUUAGAUAUCACGAAGAACUCCGAUUGCGAAGGCAGCUCACUGGACUGCAACUGACACUGAGGCUCGAAAGUGUGGGUAUCAAACAGGAUUAGAUACCCUUGUAGUC
rnacentral:rRNA from 1 species